AGUGAACGCUGGCGGUAGGCCUAACACAUGCCAGUCGAACGGCAGCACAGUAAGAGCUUGCUCUUACGGGUGGCGAGUGGCGGACGGGUGAGGAAUACAUCGGAAUCUACUUUUUCGUGGGGGAUAACGUAGGGAAACUUACGCUAAUACCGCAUACGACCUACGGGUGAAAGCAGGGGAUCUUCGGACCUUGCGGGAUUGAAUGAGCGCGUGUCGGAUUAGCUAGUUGGCGGGGUAAAGGCCCACCAAGGCGACGAUCCGUAGCUGGUCUGAGAGGAUGGCGGGCGACAAUGGGACUGAGGAAGGGACCAGACUGCGACGGGGAGCAGCGGGGGGGAGUAUUGCACAAUGGGCGAAAGCGUGAUAAAGCGACGCCGCGUGAGGGAUGACGGCCUACGGGUUGAAAACAUCUUUCAGCUCAGAAGAAGCGGAAGUGACGGUAGGAGAAGAAGAAGCAACGGCUAACUACGUG
rnacentral:rRNA from 1 species